AUCAUGUUACUGUUUCAGUGCUAGUACUACAGCUUGACAGAAGGCUAACCUUGUGCAAAUUCCAAGGCAUUUCGACGUUUUGUCAGCAUUUGGCGAUGCGUGCAGUGCGAUCGAGGGACAAAGCUUUGCAGACAGUGUACAAAAUUAAUUUGUGGACGCUGGCUUCUGGGGCGAUGCGUCUUGUUUGGGCGCACGGUUAAUCAGGAGGACUAGGUACGUUUUCGAGGCAAUGAACAACACUAGUCUAUGCAAGUUUUACUUUGAUAAAGAAGUAAAUCUUCCAUAGUAGUUGUACUAGCAAGGGAUGAAGUGAACAACUGAUAACAGUGGCUGUAAAAUAAACAUCUAUAAAUCAUCGUUAGGUAAAUUAUUUCUAGAGUUGUUUUAAGUUAACUUUUAUAAGUUUGAUUAACUUUCUUAAGAAACAUAUUAACAUCUAUAAUAUCAAAUAAGUAGUACUUCCUCCGUCCACGAAAGAAUCAAUUUCUAGAGUUAUCCUAAGCCAAACUUUUUAAACUUUGACUAAAUUUCUAAAAAAAAUGCUAAGAUUUAUGGUAUCAAAUUAGUAUCAUUAGGUUCAUCAAAGAAUAUAUUUCUAUAUAAUGUGCAUUUUAUAUUAUAGAUGUUGUUACUAUUUUUCUUUUUAGAUUAAGUGUUACUCUUUUUCUAUAAAUUAGUCAAAUGUUACCAAUGUUGUGUGGGUUUUAUAUUAUAUUAUAACAUAAAUUUAGAAGUUGGUUUUAUUUGGGGGGACGUAUACAUGUAUGCGCAAUCGACGGGCUGUCUUGUGUGUGCUGUAUCGAUGGUAGAGCAGCAAGGCCUGGAAGCACGAUCAUCUUGUCCCCUGUCCUGUGCAUGUAAACAGCCGCGUGUGCAACCCAAAACCACUCCGAAGGCGUCUCCUGUCGCUGCUGGUAAUAAAGAGAAAGGAUCGAUGUUUUCGCCGAUCGAGCUGCCCGACCAUCCCGAAUUCCAGCCGACCAUUCUGCGCUCCAUUUGACGAGUGCAUGCAUGAUUAUUCAGGUAGAGUUUCAUCUCCAGCCAAAAUAGCUUCAUGGAAUGGCUUUAUUUCUCUAGCGCUAGUUUCACUAUUUGAAAAGACAUUUGGUAAAAUAGUUGCUUAAAAGAUGAAUGUCCAUCAUUUUUUUUUUCACUUUCUCAAUCCUUAUCCUCUGCCACACCAAAAUGGUGGAUACCUUUCUUCUUUCGUCUUCGUACGCCCAACUCUAAUUUCCUUAUUUGGAAAUGAUAAUUUCCGCAACUUUCCAUUUUUAGAAGGUAACUAAGUUAUACAUAUAUAUGUUAUAGAACAUAACUUAUUUCUAUAAAUUAUACUAACAACUUGGCAUAACACUUUGCAAAACUUAUUACCAUAUGACUUAUACCAUAUAACUCACAACUUAUGCUAAAAUUUGAAACACAAAAGUUAUAAAACAUUUUUUUUAAUUUUUCUUUUGUCUUUUUUCUCUUUUUAUUUUUUAUAUAAGUCUAUCAAUUUUUUCUUUUUAUAUAUGCUGUCAACCCUUAUUUUAUUUGGGCGAUCGUUCACUUAGAUUUGAUGUAACAAAGGUUCAAACUAUCUCCCCUUCUAGCGUGCUUUUUCCAUAACCACCGCUGAUGUCAUAAAAAAGUAAAAUAUUUAUUUUAAAAUGCUAGAUGUAAAUUUUAACCAUAUAAUUUGUAAUUAUUAACUUUCCGCACGUAACUUUUAUUUCUAACUUUCUGUACGCAACUUUUAUAUCUAACUUUCUACGUGUAACUAGUAGAUAUUAACUUAUAAUUAUUAUCUUUUAUGUCUAACUUUUUGCAAAGCUAUUUGAUUUAUUAUAUUUUGUGCUUAACUUGCAGUUAUUAACUUAUAUGUUAAAAUUAGUUUAAUUAAAAUAUGCUUAAGUUUUAAUUGUAACUUUUUUGAACAUUCGCUAAAUUGUCUCGUCAUAAAUUAUGUUGAUAAACUUGUUCCAUAAAAUAUUAUAGAUAAAAGUUAUGUGUAUAACUUUAUCAUGUAGUAAGUUAUAUGUAUAUAAGUUAUAUGUGUAACUUUGUCACAAUGAAGAUAUAUGUUAAAGUCACGUAUAUGAGUUAUACGUAAAAGUUUGUUCCAUAAGUUAUACGUAAAAAUUGUGAGUACAAUUUUUCAAAAAAAAAAAAAAGAAAAGUAGCGAUUUUUUUUGCCUAAAAUAUAAAACUUUCCAAAAAUAGAAAAUUGCGGGAUUUUUUGCCAAAAAAGGAAAGUUGUGGGGGCUGUCUGAUCGUUCGCUAGAUUCAAAUCUACUGAAACGUUCACUAUUUAGUGAAGCCGCUUCGUACGUGGCGACGCCGAACUGCCAUAUCGGCACGCCCCUUCCCUCCCUCUAGCCUGUAUCGCCCCACGUACGCUGCCAUUUUCUUGACAAGUGACACGCUGUAGAGCCACUCCACCACUGUUUGCUCGACUAGCAGUGUCGCAACUCUAGCUGUCUAGCCCGUGUCACAUCGUUGUCUCUCUAAUCCAUGUUGCGACACGGUCUCAGCUCCCACCAUCUUCCUAUCCCCUCCCCGUUCCCUCCUAAUUAUUAAUUUAUAAGAGAAACCUCAUAGAACCCUCAAACAAGCCCUAAACUAAAAUUUUAUUAAAAGAGGAUCUAGAACAAAAUUUGAGAGCCCAUAUAUAUUUGAGUCCUCAAAAAUAAGAUGCCCUCAAAUCAGCUUCAGCAACCCUCAUUCCUAUGGUCGCCCUCUAUAUAGUGGUUGACAAGUUUUUCACCCGCCCCACACUUAAACUUUCCUGUGUUCGAGUCACUGGACUGCACCGCGAUCGUCAUCAUCGGUCUAUCUCCAAGUUCGGCAAUGCCCUUCCUCACCUCCAAAUACGCCCCAACCAAUCUUCCCUACCUCCCCUAAGGUUGAUUUGUUAGGUCACGACACGCCUCGAUAGGGGUUGCGACCGUCCAAGUCAAACUUGUGGCGCCUCAUGCGCUCUGCUCGCUCAGCACAUACACCUCUGCUUGAUGCUUCGUGUGACUCCUUUUGCAUUGACUAUCUCGUGUUCCCCAUCCUCUCCCUACCCAACGAGUUGAUGGAUCCUCAUGCUCCUUCCAGCAUGGAUCCACUUCUUCCCAGCUCAAAGGGUAGAUCCUCGUGCUUCUCCUAGUGUGGAUCCUCUUCUUCUUGGUCUCGUCCUUCUCUCAGCCUCCUCACCCAACGGCUUGAUGAGCCUCAUGGUGGAUUUGUCAUGCUCCUUGGAUCCUCUUCUUCCCUGUCUUGAUAGAUGGUCUGUCGAUAAGAGCAGAUAAGACGAGGAGAAGUCAUAAUUUGAGAGCCUUUAUUUGAAGUCUUCAGAAUUAGAGUAGCUCUUAAAUAAAAAAAAAGAGGUUCUGAUUUCAGUCGUCUGCUAGAGUUACUUUAAACAACUCGCUGCCUAUUGCUUAAUACUAUAAGAUAAACAAGAUUUAAAAUUAUGGGGCUAAACUUAUUGAUUGAUCUCGGUACAAGCAUUAUAUAAUUGACCUAUAUAAUUAUAAAUUCUAUGAAUAGGGUUAGCCAGUAGGUAAUUUUGAAGGCCCUCAUGACGACCCCUCUAAACUAUAAAAUUUUAUAGUAAUGUAAGCUAAUUUUAUUCGUAAGGGGAAAGCAAAUCCAAUCAUAUAUAGAUAAAUUGCUCUUUUUAUAUUUUUCAAUUUUUUUUAUAGCCCCUGACAAAUGUUUGUUAGGUAACACUCUAAAAUUCUAACAUAUGACCUAAAGUACAAGAAAAAUAUGACUAUAUAAGUACAAAGUACUAAAACAAAAAUUAAACAAGAAAAAAAACCUAGUUCCUAAACAAUUGAGACAUGAACUAAUUCAAAAUCAAAACCAAGAUUCACAAAUCACAAAAAAAUAAAAGAGUAGAAGAAAAUAACCAAGAUCACAUGUCGCAGUCCGUCGAGCCUCGCCAGUUGGUCGUCGCCGUUGUCGUUUGGAUUUUGGAAAACUAGAACUUGGACGCAGAGGUUUUGGUAUUAUCUACUGCAGCUGGUGAUCGUAUUGUCGAUGUCACAGCAUCCUCAUCGGAAGUCUAAAAGUCAUAACUCGUGAUCGCUAUGUGCAGCAGCGCGUGUACGACUUAUUGGUGGCUUGACUCCUUGGUUCACGACUUUUUUUUAUAAUAGACCCGCUACAUCGUAUAUAUACACAUACUAAUAAAUAAGGACUAUAGCUAAAAAAUAUGUGACCUUAUAUACAUAUCGCAAGAGCCCUCGGCCAUCACACCUCAUGCCCUGCCCUCAGGGCCG
rnacentral:lncRNA from 1 species